rnacentral:rRNA from 1 species
GUAGCAUAGUCAUUUGUUUUUUAAUUGAAAACUGGAAUGAAAGGUUUAACAAAUGAAGAUUAUUUUAAGUUAAUUUGAUAAAAUUUAUAUUUUAUGUAAAAAUACAUAAAUGAAUAAAAGGGACGAUAAGACCCUAAAAGCUUUAUUGAUAAGUAUUUUUAGUAUUGUUGAUAUUAUAAAAAUAUAUAAGCAUUUUAACUGGGGUAGUUGUUUUUAUUACAAAUAUUUUUAUAUACUGGUAGGUAUAGAGAUCCUUUAUAUCAGGAUAAUUAGUUAAAGUUACUUUAGGGAUAACAGCAUAAUAAUAAUGGGGAGUCCUUAUUUAUAUUAUUGAUUUUGACCUCGAUGUUGAAUUAAAUUUCUUUAUAAAGUAUAAAUUAUAUUUGAAAGUUUGUUCAACUUUUAAAAUUUU